rnacentral:lncRNA from 1 species
ACUUCCCAUCAGCCCUUGAGGCUGCAGGGACCAGCCCUUUGUGGAGAAGCCCAGGCGGCCUAGAAUCCAGUGUCGUCCGUGAGUGCUUGGCUGGUGUUCAAGUGCAUCUUCCAGCCUGAGACCGCGUGGACUCGCUCAUCGUGAGGGCGAGAGGAGGAUAAGCCCAUUGGGCUGUCGGCUGAGAGUGAGGUGCGGGAUUGCUGAUGAAAUCCUUGGCAUCGUCGGAGAUCUCAUCGAAUGCCUCGUCGUCGAAGUCCCAGGUGGCUGAGGUAACGUUGGCCAAGGUUUCGUUAUCGUUGUCUCCCAUGAAGGGGGAAAGGCCACUGACUCUGGAGAGACAAGAGCAGGACAGCAGGUGUGGCUAGGAGAGGGCGCGACGACCAGAUGAGGGAAUUGAGGCACAGCCCAGGCUCAAGUCACCUGCCCAAAGAUUCACAGCCAGUGAGAUUGGAAGCCAGGUAUCUGCCUCUAGAGCCUGUCCUCUUAAAUGCUAUACUAUCCUAACAUUUCUGUAAAGAUGAAGUAAAUUGCAGUGUUCAGCACUGGCACCAGGCCUGGUCCACAGUAAGGAGGCGGUCCAUGCCCGGAGAUCUCAUGCAGUUCUGCUGGGUUCCCUCCACUGCCUUACCAAGCUGUGAGUGCAGGAAUGACUUUGUGACCAGCAGCUUAAGCCAAAUAAACUUUAUAAGGUAAAGAAUUUCAAAACAA